rnacentral:rRNA from 1 species
UACGAAGGGGGCUAGCGUUUUUCGGAAUUACUGGGCGUAAAGCGCACGUAGGCGGACAUUUAAGUCAGGGGUGAAAUCCCAGAGCUCAACUCUGGAACUGCCUUUGAUACUGGGUGUCUUGAGUAUGGAAGAGGUGAGUGGAAUUCCGAGUGUAGAGGUGAAAUUCGUAGAUAUUCGGAGGAACACCAGUGGCGAAGGCGGCUCACUGGUCCAUUACUGACGCUGAGGUGCGAAAGCGUGGGGAGCAAACAGG